rnacentral:misc_RNA from 1 species
GCAGCAGGAGCUGGUGGAGAACCAUAGAGGAGGUCCGAGCAGGAGCAAGGAACAACAGCAGCAGCAGCUUGGAGGAUAUUCAGCAGCAGCAGCUUGGAGGAGAUUCACGG